CGUAGGUGGCAAGCGUUGUCCGGAUUUAUUGGGUUUAAAGGGUGCGUAGGUGGCCCUGUAAGUCAGUGGUGAAAUAUCUCAGCUUAACUGAGAGGGUGCCAUUGAUACUGCAGGGCUUGAGUACAGAUGAGGUAGGCGGAAUUGACGGUGUAGCGGUGAAAUGCAUAGAUAUCGUCAAGAACACCGAUAGCGAAGGCAGCUUACCAAGCUGUAACUGACACUGAGGCACGAAAGUGUGGGGAUCAAACAGGAUUAGAUACCCUGGUAGUCCACACUGUAAACGUUGAUGACUCGAUGUUGGCGAUACACAGCCAGCGUCCAAGAGCAAUCGUCAAGUCAUCCACCUGGGGAGUACGCCGGCAACGGUG
rnacentral:rRNA from 1 species